rnacentral:tRNA from 1 species
GGAGAGAUGGCUGAGCCCGGUUGAAAGCGCUCGACUCGAAAUCGAGUGACCCGCCAAAAGUGGGUCCGUGGGUUCGAAUCCCACUCUCUCCGCCA